rnacentral:misc_RNA from 1 species
UAUCCUUGGCAUCAAUACUGAGCAAUGUACAUGGAAUGGCAGGAAAAGUGACAUCAAAAUUGAUCCUUAGAGUUUCCCCUCUUGAAGUAUCCACUAAGAGCUUCGUCUCAGUAACAAUGCGCAGGUAUAAUNNNNNNNNNNNNNAGGAGAAGAGGAAAAGCAUGAUAAGAAAAGAGACGAGGGUAAUGAGGCCACCGGAAAAGGUCCUCCUAUAAAAAUCCUCAUUGAUUUUUGGGUAAGCAUCUAACUUCCUCAGUUUCUGAAUCAUGCUUUCCACUUUCAACCAAAAUUUCCAAGCAAUCAACCAAUACCCAGAAAGGUUACACCUUCA